rnacentral:tRNA from 1 species
GGGGCCGUAGCCCAACGGCAGGAGGCGCGCCGCUUAGGUCGGCGACAGUGCGAGUUCGAAUCUCGUCGGCCCCA